GAGGGCUGGAAAUGAACGGGGAAGCAGAGACAAACUGCGAGCGGCUGGUAAUACUGCAGGGAACAGGAGGAAUAAAACACUGCAGAAGAGUUGUCAGCUUGCCUCUCUUCAUCUGUGGUGGGAUUAGCAGAAAAGGUCCCUUGCCACAUGAUAGACAAAAAGUUAACUUCUCACCUUGAAAUCCUACAAGAGGAUGAAGUUACUUCGCUGCUGUGUAACAAAGUCGUGAGAGCUCACUGCAAUGAUCAUUACAACAAGGCCAUGUCUACACGGAGAGAUACCCACACAUCUGGAGAAGAAAAAUGAGAGAAGCAGUAAAAGGAGCACCUCAGGAAAAGAAACCCAAGUAAAUCUGAGCAGAUACUGCAGAGGGACUGAGGCAUUUGUGGAAGGUGGAACACGGGCUGCAGCAGCAUUAGUGCAGUGUUCUCACCAUAAAGAAGGCUGGGCUAAAGCUUCCAAAAGCUUUAUUUCCCUGAUAUGCAGUCAGACCAUGUGCCAGGAAGGAAGGACUCAGGAUGGAUCCUGCUGAUGAAUUACCUUGUCCAUUGAAUGCUCAUCCUCCAUCUCUCUGGGAAAACAAUAGGAUUCAACAAUCAGUGGGGCUCCAGGAACAGAUGGCACUCAGAACUCGGCAGAUGGCAAAAGAAAUCCCACAGGAUGUUCUUCUCUCCCCCCACAUAUAUACAUGAGAGCAUGUGUGUGCACAAAACAGCAGUGUCCUGAGGAGAUACUUUUGUGAAAGCCUUUGGAGUCUCUUCCCUUUGAACAACAUCUCACUGCCCAAUUUUACAACAGGAGAGAUCCAGCCGGGGCAGGAUACCAGAGGGGGACUCGGGGAGAACCUGUCUGUUCAUGGGUUUGCCACUCACCUGUGAUAAGCCUUUGGAUAGGCAAGUUUGGUCCUUCUUCUUCCCAUGCCAUGCUCAGUCCUUUAUUUUAAUUAUAGAUCCUCAGGGAGGAGAUUCUUCCAGUCUUUGGCUGUUAAGACUUGUACCAUGCUGGUGCUCCUCACUGCAGCUUCUGUUUCCCAGGAAGUGUUAGAGACACCUGCACUCUGUAGCAUUUUCUGCAUUUCACAGAGCUGAGCAUAAAGCUGUCCAUGAAAUGGAGAUGUGCCUGAUAGAGAGGCAAAUACAGGCAAGGAUAAACCACAGAAAAUCUACAAUCCUCCUUCUGCAUCAGGUCCUUGAUAAAGGCAGGGGAUAAAUCUUUCUGGCAGAGAGCUGUGUGAACAGGCACCACUGCUCCCAGUCCCCUUGGCCACGGAACAACUCCUGUGUGGGAUCACUUUGCAUUUACACCUGCAAUUUUUAUUAUAAUGUCCCUCUAAGGCAACUGCCUCCCAAAACUCUGCAUGGAGUCUGCAGUUACGCCCAAAUCCCACCCAUGCUAGAAAUGUCCCUUGUGUUGGAAGCACCAGCAGCUCAGAGGCCAUACCAGCACCAGGGCAAGGCACUCCAUGCUCACCUGAAGCUGGAGGUGGCAUUUCUAGUAGGCAGCAUUGCAAAAUCCAGGGCAGCAUUUAGUUUGGGUAUUUUCCAAAUCUGAAGUCCAGCCUGGAUUUUUCAGCCAGCCUCUUACUUCUGGAAGAAAGCAGCACACCAUUGCUUGUCACAGUACUGUUGAGUAUUUGCACAGCCCCACCAUGCCCUGACCCACCAGGCACACUCUCGACAUCACUGCAUUCCUGGCAGUUUGCUCUCCUGGAACAAACUGGCUCCUCUGAACGUGUCAUUGUAAUCACUUUGCAGCUCCAUGUUGCCUGUGCACAGCACCCCAGCCAGCCCUCCUCCCUAAAGCACUGCAAUUCCUCACAAAUAGAAAGCACUGGCAGCAAAUGCCACCUCACCUUCAGAGGAGUGGCACUGCCUUUAAUUGCUUCCAUUUCUCAGUCUCUGAUAGAGGCAGUUUCUUUGAUACAAACUUGUGCUCAUCUCUGGAGGAGGGAGUUUUACAUGCACAUGGAAAGGGCAGUGAAACUUUCCCUUCUGCAAACAGAACUCAUUUCUCUGGGCAGGGAGCUCCGGUGUGUCACUGAACCUGCAUGGACAUGACUGGUCAAACACAGGAUGCAGCAGGGUGCCAAUAUUUUUAAAAUAGUAUUAAAAGCUGAGGUUGGUGACAGAGUCUGAAAGGACAACAGCAAGGAGGGCAGAGUAACAAGUUUGACUGUUCUCGGAUUACCAAAUCACUGAACAGAUGGACUGGUUCCAUACAAACCUACAGCCCUUCCAAAACCAGGAGUACCAGACAUAUGCACAGACAAUUGUACACACAAAAGUGUGCUCGGCUACCCUGACACUCACAAUUUUGGCAACUCGGAGACAAAUCUGUUGUUUAAGCAGAGAGAACAGUGCUUUUUUUUUUUUUUUUUUCCUCUUACUUUCAUGGCAACCUGGCUGUCUGCAGCAGAGAUUAUUUCAGGUGGAAGAAAGUUGUUCUGUAUUUGCAUGACAGAGAGCACAGUAUGUUACAGACUGGGAAGACAUUGCCCAGCACCUCCCACCAUCUACCUCUCCAGCUCAGGGAGAGGCUUGGAAUGAUCACACCCAGACACCUUCACUCCAAAGUACCCUGGAGCCUGUUUGCAGCACUCUUCACUUGGUCUAAAAACAGUUCUGCAGCAGCACAAGGUGCACAAAACAGAGCAAGUCCAGCACUGGGAGCCAGGACUACCUCAAAGAGGCAGAGAAUCAACCCUGAAAUUGCAGAUUACUUCCUGGGCAGGAAUAUUUAAGAAUGGCCUGGCUUUGAGUAUUUUCUUUUCCAUCCUCGCCAUUUCAGUGGCAAUCUCACAGCUGUGCCAUCUUCCAGUGAGCACUGGCUGUUCUUUCAUACUCAAAGAUCUCUAUCAGCCAUAAACAUUUAGCCAAGUGAAUGAAUUUUUAAAAGUGUGGGGGACUCUAACAGCUGUGAUGUUUGAUUGAUUAGUUCCACAAGAAAUCACACAUAUAAAACAUAAUAGAGACAGCUAAACCUCCCAAUUGCUCUGUGGUCCAUGGACACAUGGUUGAGAGCUGGGUAAGCAAUCCUGGUAUGCCCAGGAUCUUCUCUGGAAUGGGAACUCAGGCCAUUUGUCCCAGAGCCCAGAGAACACAAGCAGGACAUUUGCUGGUGUCAGCCUCAGGCAUCGAGGAUGAGGAAAAUGCUGUAGGAAGGAGACAAGAGGGAGCAAGGAGGAGGAGAACAUGCUGGAGAUGCAAGACUCUCACCUCUGCUCAGACCAGCAAUCAAAAGAUGGACGCAAAAUAAAAUUGGAGGCCCCACUGGAAACUGAAGAAAUAAACACUGAGCAUUCCUUAACUACAAAUCAGAUUGUUUGGAUAAAAGAGGGGUUUGGACUCCACAGGAAACUCCAUUGCGGGUACUUCCUAUAUUUCGAGGAUGGGACCUCAUACAAACUUGUAAGACUUUUGUGACACAAUUAUUGUUGAUGUGGGGUGAUUACAGAUGUAAAAGCUGUCUGAGGUAUCUGAAUGUUGACAGUGAAUUUGAAACUACUCCAAGCUCAGACCCAGAGGAUUUCUAUGGGCUCAUUUCCAGUUAAAACACAUGGCUGAAGUCACGUGAUUCCAUGGACUAAGGCAGUUUCUAAUCAAAUCACGGCAGUAUUAGCAAUAGAUAGCUUCAUGUUUCUGUCAGAAGCCUUAUUAUUUUUCCUUAUUAUUUUUCCUGCCUUAAAGGAAAGAACCAGAGCUGCUCUGGCUGCCUCCAAGGCUGGUGAACAAGUUCCAUUAAACCUUGUUUAGAACAGCUACACUGGCUCAAACACAGGAAGAAUCUUACCCAAGUAAGGGGCUCAUAUCUCAGAAAAACAUCUUACAGUACUCUACAUUAAUUAAAGAUAAGGUGAUAUCAUUACAGAGAUAGACAUUGUUAUCAAGGCUGUUUUCAUGUCUGCAGAUGAACACUUCCAGAGAAAGAUAUUUCUGAAAACCUCCCAUUGUGUUUGAAAGCAUUUGCUAAAUGGAAUUACAAAGUUUCACUGGGUAGCAUAUUUUUGGGUGUGAUCCACAGCUCACUGAAGUCAAGAGGAAGGCAUGUAAAACUCUGGUUAACUGUCUCUACUCUGGAAAUUUGGGUUUUUCAGCAAGUGCAUUUAUCAUAUUAAAUGUAUACUGAGUUUCUCUUAUUUUGUUAGCUGUCAAAUAAAUGUUCAAAGGAGACAUUUUCAAGAAUCUACCUGCAUUACGUUGGACAAGAAACACUCACUGGGGCAAGGGAGCAAGAAAAGGCUGGGAAGGUUUUAGUUACUGCCAAAAUUUCCAACUAUUCAGUGCUGAAAGCACUGAGAACGCAUUUUUCUUCUUCAGCACAAAAAAAAAAAAAAAUCAUUGCUUCAGAGUAGAACCAGUAACUACAGUUGGAACCAGUAUCUAACAGUGCUUCAAAUGAGAAGUUUACACAUCAUAGCAAAGAUUUACUUAAUUUUAUGGGGAACACAAGGAAAGAAGCAUUUAAAGUGGGUGAGGAGGGGUUCUUUGUUGGCUUUGCUGCACUCCUGGGAAAAUAUUUUUUAUCAUUUGAAACCUAACACAAAGCCACUCCCAACACCUGACUCCUGCCCGUGUGUGCCCUGCAGCAUCUGCUGAGGGGACACGGGGAAGCUGCCACCAGGAAACCUCAGAAGAGAGCAGUGGCUGCCCCCA